rnacentral:rRNA from 1 species
UCGGCCUCAGAUCAGGCAGGGCUA